UACGUAGGCAGCGAGCGUUGUUCGGAGUUACUGGGCGUAAAGGGCGCGUAGGCGGCACUGUUAGUCAGGCGUGAAAGUCCUGGGCUCAACCUGGGAACUGCGCUUGAUACGGCAGAGCUAGAGGAUGGAAGAGGCUCGCGGAAUUCCCAGUGUAGAGGUGAAAUUCGUAGAUAUUGGGAAGAACACCGGUGGCGAAGGCGGCGAGCUGGUCCAUUACUGACGCUGAGGCGCGACAGCGUGGGGGGCAAACAGG
rnacentral:rRNA from 1 species